GCCUCUGGAUAGCGACCUGCAGACUCGGACGGAAGGCUCUGUCCUGUGAAGGCCUCCCCGCCCCCUUGCUGGGACAGCCCUGCUGCUGGCGCCUGGGCACACGGAUGGCGCAGAGGAUGCAGGAGCUCUGCGGUCUGAGUGGCAUUGUCAUUGACUGACGGACACGGUCCCGGACAGCGCAGGAGGUGGCCGCGAUGGGCAGACGGGCUCCCCACUGCAGAGGGGACCUCCAGGUGACCGGCUCUGCCUGUAGGGCGCUGGGGCAUGGAGGCAUCUGAAUGCUGUUUCUCAGCCUGAUGGAGACACUCAGAAAUGGAUUGCUUUGUUAGCGUGUCUAUGCCAUGACUCAUUAAAUCAUUGUUUGAAACCGA